ensembl:lncRNA
AUAAAUUUGAAGAAAUUAACUAACUUUCUAUGCAUCUGGACGAAGAGCGUGUGGCUGGAUGUGCUUAUUCUGUCUAUGCAAGUCUUCCUGCAGGUUGGUGUUUAAGCUAUACUUGUGUGAAUCGAGACCGCCAUCCCAUGGUUGCUCUCAGAUUUGUUCUCAGAGAGAUAAAUGGCUGUUACCCCCCGCCCACCUUUCUUUACAGGGUGGUUGUACUGAAACAAAAGACCACGUCCUUCAUAUAUUCAGUGCUGUGUUUUGACAUGCUGUGUAUUGAGUUAAACCUCUUCCCAGCUGCCAAAAACCUUCAACUUCACUUACCUAUGGCACGUAACUUUCAGUGCUCUGAAAAGUUAUCGAAGGGCAGGAGGGCACAGGAAAAGAAUAAAACAAAGAGAUUUUACAGCCAGACUACAGUGAACCUGCAGUAUAGUUAUACUGGUACCAUAAAGGAAUCAUUUUGGAUGCUGCUACUUUUGUUUGCCAAGGUAAAUGCUAUAGCAGAGCUAUGGCCAAAUGAAUUCCUGAAAGUAAUCUUUAUUUGGUAAAGAGACAAACUAUGAUGCUACAGUAAUUUUGUAUUGCAGUACUUCACUAUGCUGUAGUUUCUCACAGGGGAGGGUUGAAUACCUAAUGUUGUUUAGGGAGCCGUGAUAGCUUUUACAUUUUUACAGAUGCUUUCUAAAAUAAGCUAACAUCACCUGCUUGUUUUCCAAGCAUUCUCUGCAGAAUGGCUUUAGUGCACUCUUAACACAACAGUUUCUGUCUUCAGAAGGAAUCCUCAAAGUAAAUCCUGGCAAUGGGAGAGAAGGACAGAAUAGCUUUCUGUUUCUGAAAGGGAAAUAGCUGUUUGCUUGAGACUACUUACUGGUAUGUGUCCCACUUGAAAUGUUGAGUGCUCCUGCCAAGUUUUACAGGGUGUUUAUUUAAUAUGAGUUUCUGCUGAAUGUGUAAAUUUUCUUGACUACGUUGUGCCUGACAUAUCCAUAUGUGAAACUUAAGAGGGCUGGUCUGCACAGGAACAAUCCAUAAAUGUAAGGAAAUUGGCUGAACACAUAAAGUCAAUACACCUAAAUUACUCUAUCUUAAACUCUCCUGCGGAUAAUUUCUUUCUGGAGUAGAGUGAUUUCAUUUUAUUGCAUAGUAAGCCAAAAGGUAAAAUUACUUCACAACUGAAUGAGAACAUCCACGCUGUGUAACUGACUGUAAUUGAGGGUGUUUGCAAACAUCCUCUGGUUAAUCUACAUUCUGGUUAAACUGAGCUAAGAAACCUGCUUCCCAAAACAAACCGUCAUCAUUCAGAAGGCAAAGGCUGCUGCCUUUACCUAUACAGCCAGCUAUCUAAGGACUCUGUCCUGUUUCAGUACAAAUUUAGGCAAACCGCAUUAAUAAUUAUUAAUAACUAAGUCACAUAAUUUGCUUAGAAGCUUUGAAGAAGUGCUCUACUGGCUGAAUUGGUAGAAUAAUGUGCAUUAGGUGAUGUAGCAACUAUCAGCUGACAAAGCAGGAGAUAAAAAAUUUUGUGCUGCUGUGAAUGAAGGUGAUUUUCUUCAUUCUCCAUUGUUCUUUUGUUUUCACUAUCGCCGCGUGGUCCGAACCAGAACUGACAGCAUCCUCUCCUUAUCAUUUACCAAAAUUCCUUGAAACUCAUCUUGUUCAUUUCGCUUUGGGUUAUCUUGAAAAAUGCUAUUGCAAAUGUGAUUAACUGUGCUCCUAAAACGGAAUUCUUUUCUUCAGAAUAUGAUGUCAUUCUUCAGUGCUGCUUAGAUGUAGGAGAAUUAGAAGGACAUUGAGUGCAGUUAAUUCCAUUGAUUGUUAACAGCACAAAUGAUACAAUCUAUUUAUUGUAUUCUUCACCUGGUUCAUGGCCAUAGCCUUGCUUAAAUAUGGUAAUAUUUCUAACACCUACACCCAUCCAGUGAUCAGGAGCCAUUGUGCUUUAGGUCAAAAAUAGGUUCCCACAUCUGACAUCCUGAAUAUGUUGUUUAUUGUUGUUGUAUAUGAAGCAGGUACAGACAGGCCAGGACAAUAAUUACAUUUAUUAAUAGUCAAAUUUUAUCCAGAUAUGGAAUUUGUGAAUAUACAACAUUGCUUUAUUGACAUACCUUGUCAAGUGGUGAAAACUGUAAGUAUAAUGUCCUCACUGAAGAAGAUUGAACCAGUGAAUUAUUCUAUUAGUAGAGUACGUAAUUUUUGUACGGAUAAAGCACGUAUUUGAUUUCCUAUGCUUGAAAUCACAUUUUAAAAUACUAAUAUUGCAAUACAGCCAGUAGGUGGCGAUAGCCAUUUAAUUUAUUAAACUAUGGCAGCUCCCCAGCUCACGCUCUCGUGUUGGUACUCACGUUACCUUUGAGCCUUACAAAAAAAGAAAUUAAAAAAAUCACUCUUGAAGAGUCUUUCUGAGUGUACUCUCAACUUUAUAGUUGAAGGAUUUGCUGUGCAGGGAAAUGCAACAGCAUUUGUCGGAGCAGUGUCAGAGUCAUGUCAAUUUAAGCUCCAGUUUCCUGUUCUUCUAUAUAUUGACAGUAUUAGCUUAUUAUGAAUUUUUCCUUACAUUAUAUAUAUGUUUAUGAUGUAUUCUUUAGCAACUAGGAACAAAUGUUCCCAAGGCCUUUUUUUUCUGUGGCAUGUAUAUAUGCCUUUGUACUUAGACUGAGGGAGCCACUUGAAAGCUGUAGAUUGUAUGCAGAUACCCACUGGUAGUAUAGGUGCAAUAUCAUAUAAGAUAAAAAAUUAGAUUUAUUUUCUCUGAAUGAUACAGAAUGUUAUUAUUGGUAGGAUAUGAAGAAGAAAAGGCUUGUGUAUAGUUCUUAAAAGUGUUUAGAGUACAAUAGCAGUGAUAGUUGGGAGUCUGUUUAGGACAAAGCCAUGAGGGGUUUUCUCAGAUUAGUGAGACAUUACUCUUAUAAAAUGUUAUGCAAUGCUAUUUUGAUUAACUGUGUGUUAAAAAAAUCUAGUCCUUGACUUGUCAAUAGAUUGGUUUUGUUUUCUGCAAAUAGACAUCAGGUGGCUCUGCUGCUUGAACCAAAUGUUCAGCUUUAUCUUCAGCCAGAAAUUUAAUAUGAAAUGAGAGUGAAAGAGAACGUCCAUGAAAGAAGAGGAUAAACAGGAGGCAGAUGGUCCAUGUGUGUAACUUGCAUUGCCAAAUAGUGGAUUAAGAUGAUCUUUUUGAAUGCUACUUCACAACCUUAGAGCAACUGAGAGAAGUUAGGUUUCCAUUAGCUAUUGAAUGAGAAAAUUUAUUCCAGUCUUCAUAAGAACAUCUCCCAUUUCCUGAACUAGAGGAGAAGAUGCUAAUCUAAAGAGUGACCUAGAAGCAGUGUAAGUAGAGGGAAGCACAAAAGUGCCAUCUCCCUGCAUGGUUCUAUCAAACCCAUUUACCAUACUGAUCAGAGACUGAGUCAGAGCUAGAAAGCAGAUGAAAUUCACAGGAAAACCAUUUGAGCAGUCAAUAAUUUUGCAGUUCGCAACAAUGCAUUAGAACUGUUUCUUCAGCCACAGUGUUGUAGGAUGGUUCCCCUGACUGGAGGGCUAUGAUGAAUUGUGCUCUGUAUAACAAAGCAGCUCAGAUGCAAGGAGCUUUGCUAUGAAAAGGACAAGUCUGUCAGCAGUUUAUGGGAUCAGAAGGGAGGCCAUGAAGCAGACAUAGUGAUAGGAUUCUGCUACUGGUUGCCCAGACAAGAAGAGCAUAGCCUUCCUUAAACAACUGGAAUAAGUCCCAUAGGCCCUGCUUCUCAAAUGGAGUCUUGAAUCAUUCUGACAUCUGCUGGAUGGACAUCACAUCAGGGAACAGGUAGCUGAUGAGAUUUCUGGAGUACAUGGGGGACAAUUUUGUGGUUCACUUAGGUAGACUGACUAGAAGGGCUCCACUGACCUGACCUUCUGAAUAUGUAAGAGCUGGUACAGAAUGAGAAAGCUUGACAGCAGACUUGGCUACAGUGACCAUAAAAAGAUGUUAAAGGAAUUAAGGAAAGGGAAUAGUAGUCUGACAGCUUAGGACUUUGUGGGCUUUUUCGGGGAAUUAGCAGGAAGGAUCUCAUGAGAGGUUGAAGGGCAAAUAUGCCCAGGAGAACUGGCUAGACAUCAAGGAUAUUCUAUUUAAAUCAGAAUAAAGAAAGAAAGAAAGAGAGAGAGAGAGAGAGAGAGAAAGAAAGAAAGAAUGGAAAAGCAAAAGAUAGCCUAAGCGUAGAAAAGAAAUGGAUAGAAGCUAGUAGCUGGAAGCAGGGUCAAGCCACCUGUAAGAAAUUAGGAAGUAUCACCUGGGUAUACAAUGAGGACCUCGAAUGGGAUAGGCAGUCUUGUACCAAAGGAUACAAACAAGUUCAGUGUCAUCAUUGCCUUGGUUUUUACUAGCAAGCUCUCCUCUCAGAUUUAUCAGGCUCCUUUUGUUCAGUAGCAAAACUUGAGAGAAAGAGGUAUUACAAAUGGUAAAGGACAAUCAAGUUAGAAACUACUUAAACUGGAAGUACUGAAGGUGAUAGGCCUGGAUGGGAUUAAUGCAUUUCAAGGUGCUGAGGAAGUUGGCAGAUGUCAUUACCAGGUACCUCUCUUUUAUCAUCCAAACGUUAUGGUGAACACAGCUGUUGGAUGAGUUGAGAAAGAGAAAUGUCAUGCUCGUCUUCAGAAGUGGUAGAAGAGAUCUGGAAACCAAGGGGUGGUGAGCCUUACCUCAGCCUGUUAGAAUCAUAGAAUCAUAGAAUCGCUCAGGUUGGAAAAGAUGUUAAAGAUCAUCAAGUCCAACCACAACCUGACCAUAUUACCCUAACUCUAACAACCCUCCACUAAAUCAUGUCCCUGAGCACAACGUCCAAAUGGUUUUUGUAAACCUUUUCCAGUCACAUAAAGAGAAGAAAGGUAAAUGGAAAGUGCUAGUGUGGAUUUACUGUGCCUGGCAAUCCUGAUUACUUUCCAUGGUGAGAUGAUUGGUUCUAUGGAUAAGAGUAGUGCCUGUAGAUUACCUUGAUUCUAGCUAGAUCUUUGUUCUAGUUUGUUAGAAAUUCUUAUAGACAAACAGAAGAGGUAUGAACUGGACGGCUAGACUACGAAGCUAGUGAUAAACUGGCUGGAUUGUUUGGUUUGAGGUGUAGAGGUCAGUACUUAAAAGUUUAAAUGACAACCAGUUGAAGAUGCAUCCCUCAAGUGUUGAUGCUAGAGAAAUUGUUUUUUAACAUCUUCAUCAACAAUCUUGCUGAUGGGGUAGGAUUUUGCUUUCAUGAACAACACCAAACUGGAGUGAGCAAUUAAUACCCUGCAGGGCUGGGCUGUCACUUGGAGGAACUUUGACAGCUAGAGAAAUGGGGCUGGUAGAGACAUCAUGAAUAUAAACAAAGUCCUGCACCUGUGAUGGAGUUAUGUCAUGCAUCCACCGGGAUAACAGCUCUGCAGGAAGGCACGCUACAGGCAAGUUGAACACAAGGGAGCUUUGUACCCUUAGGUGAUGAAGACCAACCAUCUAUUGGGCUAAGGUAGUAAAAGUAUAUCAAUCAAGCUAAAGGUAGUGAUUAUUCAUGUUUCAUGUUUGACACCACAUUUGAAAUACCUUUCCUAGCUUCAGGUUCCUUGGUACCAGCAAGAUAUUGAUUGACAAAGCGUGAACAUACGCAUGAAAAACUGAUGAGCAGAUAAACUGAUUGUUUUGUCUGGAUAAGGGUAAGGGUCAAUGAGUCUAACUGCUAUCUGAGGAGGCUUAGGAAACUCCAUGCCAGAGGACUUUUUGAAACAACAUAUUUAACUUGAAGUUGGCUCUACUUUGAGUAGGAGAGGGCACUUGGUGAUCUUCAGAGGUCCCUUUCAAUACAUUUUCUUCUGUGAGUGAAUGAUUAUCUUAACAUGAGGCCUUAAUGCGAUUACUGGCAAGCUAGAUAUGUUUCAUAGAAAUCAUUAAAAUUAAAAAAAAAAAAAAAAGUGUAAUUCUUCAUCAAAGUCUCCAGGUAAUGAAGACAGUGAGCAGUCUGCAUUUAUUAAUCAUGCUUACCUAUAGCCAAAGCAGAAAAUAUUUCAAAUAUCUAUCAGUGCCCUGAGCACACUAAUGGCUUGAGGGUACUAAUGCCCUGUCCCUGUCCACUGCUGAGGCUCCCUCACAUGGCCAGGAUCACCACGUCAUCCCAGUGCCACUCACCCCUGCCCCAGUAAGGCAGCAGGGAUGGGCUCCAGCUCCCCACAACCCUGCCCUGCCUGACCAUAGUCUGAUGCAGUUUCCGAAGGGCCGUGAAGGUUGCCAUGAGCACCAAGAGUACUUUUUUGUUGUUGGAAUUUUAUUUUAUUUUUUACUUCUGCUGUUGUGGCUAUUUGAGUUUAUGUCAAUAGUUUAAAUGCAUGGUGGAGUAAGAAGUUGAACAUGGCUCUCCCGUGCCCUUUCUGAAGGUUUUAAACACUGAGCUGUAAAAUCAUUACGAAGGGAAAAGUAAAAUUAGUAUGCAAAGUUUCUUUCUCAGGACUAUACACAGUGAUUAUAUCCCUUUUACAUACUGCUAACACAGAGCUCAUAUGUAUACCAACGCUGUGGUAGAAAUUUGUCUUUGAUUGCGUUAAUUUCUUUUCAUUGAAAACUUUGGGCGUUUCUCAGAGAGAAAAACAUCUCAAAUAUAUUUAUGAGCUGGGGAUUUUCUUUCCCAGGCGGUUUGCCUUGCAGAAAAGAUGAUCUCAUUUGCUGAGCCAUGCUGCCAGCAUUCUUCCUUUUCAUGAAAGGAAAUUAUGGCUCCUGUGAAAGUGUCACAAAUGACACGGAGGGUUGGCAGCACAGAAUCAUUAUUGCUUGUUGAGUAAACAUUUUCAAGCAGAGAAUAAAUAAAUCCUCAUCAUAACUGAGGAUUUGGAGAGGGGUAAUAGAGAACUGUAUUAGGACAUUGUUAGCAUUUAAAUGUGCCUGUUACCAAGCUAUAGCAAAAUUAACUACCGUGACUACCAUUACACUGUCUUGCAACACUUGUCUUGUGCCCCCUCCCCGGCGCUCCUUGGCCCCCUAAUUUUUCCCACAGAGCUGGGUGGUGUUUCCCACCCGGCCUUUGCCCCCAGCAGCAAAGAGAGGCAUCUCUGUCUGCUGACUGAGCUCCCCAUAGCCCCUUCCAAACUUGCAGGGAAUUUCUCUGCACAAAGGGUGGCUCAGAGCUGGCAGGUGUGGGGUGCGGGUGGCUAGGAAUGGGGGGAAUGUGAUUAUGUGUCAGGGAGGUGCAGGAGGGGAAGGCUUCUCUUCUGCUGUGUGCUACAGGCUUCACCACGUGCUGCUGACCUCAGCACAAGAUCAGCUCACAAUGUAAAGACCCCUACCUGUCUCAUUUUCAAAAGGUUUUAUUGAGUUUUACUACUCUGAUGGUAUUGGGUAUAUGUAAAUUUUAUAGAAGAGUCACAUGGUGACUCCUACAAUUGAAGUGACUUUUCUUUUAUUGUUCUUUUAUUUUCUGCCCAAAUGAACACGUUAUUUGGGAGUGUGCUAGUGACUGGUAUCUCUGACAGUAUGACAGUGAACUACUUGCCUGACCUUAAAACAGCGACUGCAUUAUGUUGGUACAAGUUCCUGCUAUACUGUUAGUGGUUUGCAUGCUUGAAUUCACACUUUGCAAGGCUUUGAAGAAGUGGCAGUUCACACAAGAUUGCAGGGGAUGAAAGAUGACCUUUAAAAGUCUCAGUGAAGCAGCACAGCAUACUUUCUAACUAGAAUGGAUGUUCAUACAGGCUGAUGACCUGGAGGUGAGAGCACAGAUUUUGUCUUGGGUGCUGGCUAGCAGAAAGAUCUUAGUGCAUGAGCUUUUUAUUUAGGAAUUCAUUUUUCUAGGGGGUCCUUAGGAAUGGAACAUCACUCUCCUUAAGGCGUGUCUGAAACUGCAGCUGUUCAUCCAGUUUAUUGCACUUCCAGAGGCCGAAAGUUUGCUUUUUGUAGCUUAGAAAACCUCUUUGUAGGUUUUCUAUGUCCGGCAGUUGACUGAUGGUCAUCGUUUUCUCCAUUGUCCCAUUAAUGCUCAAAGGCUUUAAUUUGGAGAUAUUUUAUUUUUUUAUUAUUUUAUCUUUAUAAGGAAAAACAAUGAUAGAGAGCUCAAGGCUGUACAUGUCUUUCUAAACCCAGUAGGACCAGUUUUCUGAACUCUAGCUCUGUCACCAAGAUCAUGGGCAGACUCUGGUCCAAAUUUCUUACAGCCAGCUCCCUCUGAAGCAUGUGUCCUGGAUUCAGGCAGCUGGAGUGGUGCAAACCAAAGCAGAGGAGGAGGCUGCCAUCUAAGCAGUGUGAAGUCCACUGCAUGAGCCUGCUCAGCUUGUUUGGUUGUUUUUGUGUUGCUGUCUUUUUUAGUAUUUAUUUUUUUACUUAGCAGUGUCAACAAACCUUAAGAAAACAGACAAAAUAUGUAUCACUUUUAUUCUGCCAGUACAUACAAAAUGCCACCUCUGAAUGUAUUUGUACCACUUGCAAGGCAGCGUACCUAGUAGAUGUCAAUACAAGCUCAGUUGGACUAUCCAUAAGAAAUGAUUAUUGUAUAAUUGUAGUAUCUUACGCUGAAGGACCGGAGUGAUGGCUGCACUCAGUUUUUCAUAAAUGAAAACCUACUGCACUAAAUGAGACGGUUAAUUCACCAAAGCAUGUUUACUGUGGAAUUCACACCCAACUGCAGCAUAUGUAUGUUACUAUUACAUAAUGAAUAAAUUAUUAUGAGCUGCGACCCCCAGAGGCAUCCAGGUGCCUGAGUGUCUCCCCUCCAGUGAGUGAACUGCAGCCACUUUGACUGGUGGUAGCUGGUGCUUAGCAUACCCAGCUCAGAAGUAAGUCUCCAGGCAUCCAUAAGAGGCUUUCCAGUAAACAAGAUAGCCCCUCUAAUGAUGAAUGAGUUCUUCUUUAUUCUUAUGGCUUGAGGUAUUUAUCUUCUUGCAUCACUUUCUGAUUUCCAGUGCUAUAGUAAGACUGCUGUAAUUUGCAAUGUAAGAGUAGUGUGAAGCUCAGUUUGUUCUGUUUAAUAUAGUGUGUGGACUGAAAUUCAAGUAGAUAGCAAUAUUUCAAAGCAAAUAAAUACAUCUGUGUAAGUCAAGUCAAAUGCUAAAGCAUAAUCAGUCUCAAAGUGAAGUAUAAUUUGACCAGUGAAUGAAUUCACCAAGCUGCUAACAGUGAAGAAAUUGGAGUUCCUUGGUACACGAAAGUUUAUUGCCUAGAGAUGAUAGUGCUUGUCUCCCUGUGGACUUGUGGGGAAAAGCCUCACAUCAGCCUCACAUAUGCUAAUAAAGAUCAAUAUUUCUCAUUUUCUCUUCUCAUAGUAAGGAAAUUAAUCCACGGUGUUACUUUAGAAAAAUAACCCAAGUGGUAGAUUUGGGCAGAGAAAUUCUUACCUACACCUCAGUUUUAUUCCACAGGAAGCCUAGUGAUUACUGCUUUGCUAAUGCAUGAGCUUAUUUGGAAAAGCAGCUUUGAGCAUGCAUAUGAAAUGGUAGCCACCCUUUGCCACUGCAUGGGCCAUUCUACUCUCAGCCCUUUGUUUUAGUAAAUAUGUUCCCAGUGGGGCAAAAUUCUUGCCAAGCCUCUUAGAAGGUGUCCUUAUACCCAUACUUCAGUUUUCCACAUAGACUUUUUUUUUUUUUCUUUUUCCCCUCAACUGUUUGUUGUUAAUACAGCUUCAGGUUUCCAUUAGUACAAUAUUUGAGUGUCUCAGUCUAAAGUGUGUUUAUUUUUUCAGGUCCACGUGAAACAGGGAAGGCUCUCUGAUAUUUCUUUUCAGAUCAUACUUUGGUGGGGAGAGAAUAGAAACACAGAGAAGCUCAGAUUCUACAAUACAGUGAGGUGCCAGACUCCUACGUGUCAGAAAUUCCUCCAUGUGUUGGAGGGUCUGAGCAUGGCUUGGUUCACAUCACAAAGCAAGCAUGUGGCAGACUGGGGAAUGCAGACAAUGAAUUGGCCUGCUGUGCCUCCAGUGAAAAUGGGCUUGGAGGGCACGCAUUUAAUGACCGUCCAGAAACAAGAAGCAAAGGCAGUGAGCAGGAGGGUUUGGAAAAGAGUGGUGCAUUUCUUACGUAGGGUCUUUACUGGAUCAAACUAAGGUGUGGCUGUACCUGUCAGCAUGAAUUGUUACUGCACUCGGAAGAGGCUGUUCAUUGGAAGAUACUCAAAUUAAAAACAGAGUCCUGUAUUUUCAAGAACUGCAGGGCAAAGGGAAAGAAUAUUCAUACCAAACAUUUUUAACAUACAUAUAUUGGUAUUAUUGGCCCUAGCUCCUGACUCAGUGACAAAAGCAUAUGUGCAUAAAGUGAUUUCUUUGAGGUAAAGGUCAUUGUUCAGUCUGCGCAUGCUGAAUGUCUUGUGUUAACCUUCUCUUUAAGCAUAAGAGCAGACCUGCCACAGUCUCCAUACAUCUUGCCUUUCCUUUUGAAUCACAAAGGAUUCACUUCACUUAUAACAGCCCGACUAAACGUGGUGCAAUUCCAACACUACAAUAUAUAUAUGUAUAUAUAUAUAAAAGAUGUAUCAAGUUUUUAAAAGAAACUUCUGGAAGCUUAAACAUAGGAAUGAAGGAAUGAAGACUCAGGGCUUUGUGCAAAGCCCCGGGGACAGCCUGCGACUUUGCUGGAACAAAAGUUUCACUAUAAAUACAUUGCGAAAAGCAAACAUAAUGUAGAUAGGUUCAUUGUAUUUCUCUUGCACCUUCUCGCUUUUGUUUAAGUUUAAACCAAUCUUUUGGAACUAUGAGUCAUUUUCAGAACAGAGAGUGAUUCAGGAGAUGUAAUCUUUGUGUUUUAUAGGCCAGCAUCAUUAGAUAGGCCCUAUGCAAAUUAACAGAAGCGUUGCUGAACAGCAGUGACUGGCUUACCAUGUAUUUAUGGUUGCUUCUAACUCUCAGCCAGAAAACAUAAAUGUCUCUCUGGUGGAAACGUGUUUGGUGAGCAAUAACCCUCUCAGUUGGAGAAGAUCCAUCUGUCUUUCCUUCUACUUCAUGCAUCUUCACCACUGAAAAGAAGUUCAAGGAAAAUCAAGUUUCAGUUGUCAAAAAACCUGAUGCUUAAGAAUGAUUCUGUGAAAUAGACCAAAAAAAAGCAGCUGAAUAUUUUGUGGCUUAAUUUCAAGAUUCCCAUCGGUGCUAUAAAAAUACAAUUGAGUUUUAACUACUGCCUUCAUGCUAUCAAGAUGAUCCUGUAAAACUUAACUAUUUUGGUGUUUGCUAUUAUCUGAUUCUUUAGCAUGAAGAGGAAAGCAAAAGUAUUUUCCAAGAUUAUAUUAAUAUUUUCUUUCAGUUACAAGCUACAUCAAUUAAUUUCUUUAUAAACUCUACUAUAACAAGUUCCCACUGAUUCCUGGUUACUAUAAACAACAUCUGGGUACUGCACUGGUGCACAAGUUCUGUAAACACAUACUUUUAUAUCCAUCACAUCCUGAUGUUUCACAAGGAUAAAGCUGAUGUUCCCCUAAAAAAUAGAGAAGGCAGAUGCCUGUAGUGAUUUCACCGAAGUUACAACGUGAAGCAUGUGUGAUGUUAGGUACUUUACAGUACUUCUAAAGGGAGAAAGAAUGUGGCCGCAGAAAGGGAAUCCUGCCCGCAUGUUUGAUUCUUGAAAUGCACGUUAAAAGAUUUUUAUAUAUAAUAAAAGGCAAACAGUAAUAGAACCCCGCAGAUGGAGACAACUGUAGCACAGAGAGUGAAAAAUGUCUCACCGUCGGGCAGUGGCAGAACCAGCAAUGAAACACAAACCUCUUGCUCUGCUGGUUUACUCUCCAACUAAUUCACAUAAUAGGGGGUAGGGCUCUUUGCAGUGCUUCAGGCUGAUGGAGGUUACGCCUACAUAAAGUCCACACUUUUACCCUUGUACAAAGCCCCAAGCCCCUUUUACUUGCUUUUGGAGCCCUCCCAGAGACCCUGUAGCUCAGAGGGGAUCUGAGUGUGGGUCAAACAGCAGAUAACAGCUGAGAAGGGUUUUAAGAAAAGGUUUCUGGCUGCUUCUUGGCUGUUUGCUUCCCGGCUGAGGAGGGAGCCCAUCUGUGCAAGCCUUCCUCCUUCAUUUCAGUGCUGGCAGCGAGCUGCAGUCUCUGCUUAGGAGCAGUGCCACGAGCUGUGCCUUCCAGGAACAGGAGAGGAUGCAGCGUGGCCGUGUGGGUGUGUGGUGCACCCUUUGGGCCCCAGACGCAGGGACAAGACAAGCACAAAAGGGAGAGUAGGAAAAUGGAAUAUGCACAACUGGUUUAAUGCCAUGGGUUGUACACGUUUCUGAGACCAGCGUUUGCACUCAUUACGUGAUGUGCUUUCUCUUUAAUGGAAUUCUCUUAGACGUGCUGCUGAUAGGCUCUCUUCCCAUCUCUCCUUGAAUUCAAACAUUAUGGCUGAUUGAAAAAUAAGCAUGCAUUUUUCUGCUUUUUUCUUCUUUCGGUGUUUUUUUUUGGUCAGGUGGAAACAAUGAGGUGAACUCAUUUGUGACAGGCCCUUCUUCAGGCCUCUCCAACGUGGUCUGUAACGAGGGCACAGUGGAAAUUCCACAAAGAAGCCCAGAAGCUUUUCAGUUUGGGCAACCGUGUUGUUGUCUGCGUUUUAUUCGCAUCAAUCAGGUUUUUUUCACACCCAUCUUAGCUUCUUAUUGGUACCACAAGUCAACGCUUGCUGGAAAACGCCACCCUUGGAAAACAACCUGUAACGUACGACUGCUGUCUCUUCGUGUAUUUUCUGCUCAGAUCUUAACAUGCGCUUCCUCUGAAGGCCACCAGCGAUAAUAUUCACUCCCUCUCCAGAACCACGUGAGUAAAUACCUCCUCACGCAGGUGAGGAUUGGGCUGGGCACAAACAAGAGGAGGAUGCCAAGUAAACACAGGACUGCUGGGCAGCUUUGGUGGAUCCCAGUGCUAUUGUCUGGGUAAUUCAGGGGAAGGUUUCACUAAAAUGGUGUCCUUGUCACGCGAAGCACGGAAAACAGCUUCCCCGCUCCGGCUCGCAGUGGUCCGUGAGUAACUUGCCUGCAUGACGGCCGCCGGCCAGCAGGGGGCGCCCGCUUCGUGCAGCCCCUGGGCUGUUUAAUGCCUGGGGCCUCCGUGCACGAACGAGGUCGUUGCUGCCCGCGAGAGGCUGUGUAGCGAGGCCCGCCCAGGUGCUAGGGCAGCCUUGCAGGGUGAAUGCCUUCCUUAGCGGUGAAGGCAGCUGGAAGUUUGCUGAUGGACAGUGUGAGCUGACCACUCCUCUUGCGAGGUCACACCCCCUGCAGGAUGCUUAGACCAAGUCAGGACUCAGCAGGGGCUUUCAGUCAUCCCACUGGCUGUAGGUGUUAAGGUUUUGCAUUUGCUUUCAAAGCAACCAGAAGUAAUGGUGUUUUUUGUUUGUUUGUUUGUUUGUUUGUUUCGUUGCACAUCUCCCCACUUGCUUGGGAGGAUCUGCCCGGAAAAUGGGGAGCUGCAGCCCCCGGGGAAUAGCCAUGCUGUUGAUGGGAGGCUGGGGACAAUGGUGAGACUGUUCCACUGUAGGAAAGGCAGCUGAAGGCUCAGACAAGAGGAGCACGUGGGAACAGGCUUUGUGGCUCAGGCUCUGCAUGAAAGCGCUUAGCACAGGACAGGGAGCACAGUUUCAGUCCCAGGUGUCUACCUGUGUCUGUCUUUGGUUAUUCAAUGCAUAGUGGUUAUUAAAAUGAAGAACUCAGAAUUCCUGAUCCAGCUUGUUCUUAUUUUUCCCUAUCUCUCUCUCUCUCUCUCUCUCUCUCUCUCUCUCUCUCUCUCUCUCUCUCUCUCUUUUUUUAAAUGAAACAGAAGUCUGAUUGUGGUGCCAUCCAUGUAACAGAAUGCUGUUGGUGUGUGCUGGUGUUCUCUGUUCAUGCAUGUAAACCUGGGACUCCCAGGGAACUUAAGAAGCAUGAGCCUUGUUUGUGAAUCUCCAGAUGGGGGCAGACACUGAGAUGCACGGCUAGAAUAUUAGGCUGGGAUUGAUUACCCCAGUUCAGCUGUCAGGGAGCAGAAAGAAUUAAACCAAAGUCUCCUGGAUCCCAGGAAAAUGGCAUUACCGAUACCUCAACAUUUGGAGCAUCACACAAACACCGUGUGCUGUGUCAGAGCAGGACAGACGUGGUGUGAAAAACCUGCAGCACGUAAGCCAUGUUAAGAAAACGUUAUACUUCAGCCCAGUCCUUCACUGUGCCAAAAACAUGGAAAACUUGUUAACUGAAAUGAGAAGAAUAAGGAAAGACUGCAUGAAGCUCCCUCCUAAUACUUCCCAUCCAUUGUGCUUCAUUUUUUUUCUGUUCUGAGGCACUGCCUUUGCCUGAAGUGCCACACUGAAGUGCUAAUGCUUACGUGUAUGUUUGCUCUGCUUGGUUACAACAAUGCCUUCAUGCUGUUUAUUUUUGCGAAAUAAAUGUGAACCUCUGUAGGGCCCUGGUGCCCUUGUGUUUUGCAGCAAAGGUCAGGAGUCUAUUCAUAAGACUUCCAAAGUGUUAUUGUUAAAACAUCACUUUGCUAUGUCACUGUUUUCCCUUUCCUCUCCUCACUCAAAAUAAUACAUUGUCAUUAGCAGCUCAUAACCCUCUCUGUCUAAGCACAGCAUAUUCAGCUUUCCUUGAUUUUUUUCCCAAGCUUCCUUCCUAUUUAAACAAAGAAUUGUUUUCAUCAGUUUGGGCUCAAAUAUUCCUAGCCUUGCUGUCAUGAAAAAAAAAAAAUAUGACUCUGUUUUAUGCCACAAUUUCUAAUUGCUGCAGUUUUAUUGCUGUUAUGAGCAUUGUGAUUUAUUCCAACAGGAACAUAUGUUCUUAUAUUGGCAUUCUUGCAGUGUUCACUCUGACCUUUGUGAGAGCCUAUCUGUGGAUAAUGUGACCAAAACUUUAGGCUUUUAAUAUGUUUGUCAGCUUAUGAAUCCCUGUAAAUGAUACCUGAACAAGAAGGGAGAAUGAGAGAAAGAUGUGCUAUUGUAACUCAGUAACUGUGUGUGUUGCUGGCUCCUGUACUAAUAACUCAAGGUUUGUCAGUUUCACCACGUAUAUUGAUUUCAGAAGUCUUUAACUUAGCAUUUAAUUUCUUACUCAAUGACUGUUAAAGUCAGAAAGAUCCACCUGAUUAUCCAAAAUGCCAUUUUCAGUGAUGUGGACUCAAAGUUAUUACUGAAGCAAUCUUUAUUCUGAGCCUAGCAUGGCGUCCCUGACCAAAUUUCAUCCCAUGUCAAAGUUACUGGUCCUCCAUCUAAGCAUACAAACUGAGUAAACCCAAAACUUGCUCACCGCAUGCCAGAAGUUGACCAUAUUCAUUGUUAAAGAAUGUACAUACUUCUUCAGAUUUAUCUAUUUUGAUGUCUUGAAACUAAUGGUUUCAGUGCAUUCUUUUACAUUAGAAAAUUGUAUUUUUCCCUCUGAGAGCAUUUAUUCUCUCUAAGCAGACCUCUGGGUCUUCAUUUUGAUAAACAGAAUAGAGGAAACUCUGUAGGUGUCUUAAUUAGCAGGGCAAAUUCUGUACCUGAUGAAUAAUAAGGAAAUUCAACCCUGCCAACUUCUGUAAGGGAUCAACAGACUGAGAGUAGCUAGCGUCCAUAUUGCAUCAGGUAUUGCCAAGCUGUCCCUGGAAGUCUUGUUAGUAAGUUGAAGAGCUGUGUAUAAUGACUGGUUUUGAAAUCAGUGUCUUUGAUCUCUUAAUCAACGACUGGCAUAUAAAAGAACAGGGCCAUUAGCAAAAGUUUUCAAUUGACAGUUAUGCUGAGGCUGAAGGUCAGCUGGAAAAAGGAAAUUAAUGGAACAUUCAACUGAAGUUAUUAGUCAGGCAUAUUGUUAUGGGUGGUUUUGGAAGUACAGCAUUUGAAAGAACAGCCUGGUCUAGUAUUAAAUGGGGAGGUUGGUGGCCCUGCCUGUGGCAGGGGGGUUGGAAUUUGAUGAUCCUUGAGGUCCCUUCCAACCCAAGUCGUUUUAUGACAAUAUUCGUUCCUUUUUUUUCCACUUUCGUGAAACUACUGCUGUGAUUUUUGAGGGAAAUGUGAUUUACGUGAUCACAGCAACUGUCUCUCCAACUCUCUGUCGUAGGUUAUGAAAUCUUUGGCUGGUCCUAUUUUUGGGGGAGAUACCUGGGAGGAGGUUAGACAGGUCUGUGUUGCUGCAGAAGGAGAGGCAGGUAUAACUCAGCCAUCCAACACUCUCCUUGAUGGUAGCAGCUGACCCAUCAGCAUAUGCGCAGGGCUGGCUGGCUAACACACACACAAGCUUUUUCUUUGGGGUGAUAAGGAGGAGGCAGCAGCAAGUGUUUUAGAGGCUGAAUUGGGCUAUUGCAUUAGUGAUGCUGGAAUAAAGGAACAAAGGAUACGUUUUCAUAGGAAACCAAUCUUCCUGUGGAGUUUUAUGAACUGCAGAACUAAUCAUGAACUGUGGGCAUGGAUACUGUGUGGAGUGUUGCAUGCUCAGAAGAGAUAAUUUCCUGUAAAUCAGAUAUAGAUGUCACAAAAUUAAAGAUGCUACCUGUGUCAGUUGCUAGUGGCUAUAAGAAAGAUAUUUGCUAUUCUUGGAUUUUUAUAUCUCUAUGACUUUGUUGAUAUGAGUGAAUGAUUAUUUGUCUAAAAAUGUGGUCUGCAUUAUACAACACUCUAUAGUGCUGUGAAUAGGAGUCUGCAGGCUGAGGCAGGCAAGAGAUUUCUCUGUGAUUAUAUAUAUAUAUCUGCCAUAACACAAAUGGAAUAAAAUAUUCCUACCAGCUCUGACUGUCAUCCACUUCUGGUAAUUAAUAUAUUUUGUGAUGACUUUUACUGUCCCCACAAUGAAUUAUUAUCCUACCUAUUGCCUUAAAUGAUUAGUAACACAAAUUCCAAUAUCCUGGCCCAUUAUACUGACAAGCCAGCAAUUAUAUAUUCAAAUGUAUGGACUCGCAAGAUAGGCCAUCAUCUCUUGGAGAAACAAGUUCAGAGCAAUGCAUGUCAGCCAGAAGAUUAAGAGCGCCAUGCUAGCUCAAAGAGCGAGUUUCAGUUCUUAUGAUGUCACGUCAGUAACUUCUGGAUUAAUGGCCACCUGAGAUCAAGAUGAUAUGCCUAGAAAAAUUAAUGAUGGUACAGUAAAGUGCAUACGGGUCAGACAUGUGAGUGGUGAUCAGCGCUUGUGGAGCUCUUGGGAUUACUGAUGAGCAUCUAGGAGUAGGCUAAAAAGGAAGUAUCAAAAAUUGUUUGUUUACUUUUAAAUAUAAACAAGCUACAGGCCAUUAAAUCUAUUUUCUUUAUCCUUGCAUUUUUCAAAUAAAAAUUGUUUUAAGAAGCCUUCUGACAUGAAAUUACAGUCCUAAUUCAAGAGGCUUUGGCUCAUUCGAAGAUCUUUAAUAUAUUUUUUUUUAUUUAAUAAAGGACAAGCAGCCUUGAUACUAUCAAAAAAGACUGUGUCCCUGACAUAGAGUUCUCGGUAAAUAAUAUAACAUAUAGUAUAAUGUACAAGGUCUGCUCCAAAAGUAGUGCCUCCUAUUUUAUCAUAUUGGCCCACAGUGACAGAGGUGGCUAUUGGUGUUAUGGCAGUAGAGGGUGAACCUUCCCACCAAUAUCCUGUUACAUGUUAUUGCUGUGUGACAGAUGGCAUCGGAGGGGCAGCCUGACACAAUGGAGUCUGACGUGGAAGUGCGGAUGAAGCAAAGGGGUGGCGCUGAACCUCUCCAUGUGGAAAAAAUGGUACCCAUUGACAUUCAUUGACACUUUCUGAACUUUUCUGGAGACCUAACAGUGGAUGUGAACACAGUGAGGCAGUGUGUGGUGCAUUUCAGCUGUGGCGGCAGUGACAGCGUUCACCUCUGCUGGUGCAGAUUUUUAUGAGUGUAGAAUGCAUUCUCUUGUUUAUCUAUUAUUCUCUUGUUUAUCUUGUUAUUCUGGUGAGAAUGCAUAGCUAAUGGUGGUGACUGUGUUGCAAAAUAGCGUUUUGUAGCUGAGGAUCUGCUCUGUCAAACAGUGUUACAGGGCUCUUUGUAUCUGUCAUAGUUUCCAUGGAAAUAAAUAGGAGGCAUUACUUUCAGAUUGACCUAGGUAUAACAUAAGAUGUAUUAUGCAAUGCUGUGUGUUACGUGUGUUAUAUAUAUAAACCCAUGAAUUUUUAUAACAUGCAUUACCUAAUAUAUGCUAUAUGCAAUUUUAAACAGCCAGGUAUAAUGCCUCAUGGCUCUUUUGUUAAACCACAGAGCACACAAUUAUUUAGACUGCCAUCUGAAUGGACAUUCUAAGAUACACAAAACAUUACUUGCUGUAAAAUCUUAUUAUGUGUGGCUAAAAUACUACAUCUGUCCAGAGGUAGUUUUGAGUUGUAAAACACAUUCAUGGUUUUCUAAAGUGCAGUUAUGUUGAUUCAAGCAAUCUCAUCUAAAUUAAAAUUUUCUAUUCAUAUCCUUUGUCUCAGAGAAUCCCUAUCUAAUCUUCUGAAAUGGGAAGUAGAAGAUUUUUCUGAUUACCCAUUCUGCAAAUUGAGACUGAGGUGGAAGAUUCACAGUCAUUUUUGUUGGUUUUGCCUUCUUUCAGGCUGAACUCUCCCCAUUCCCUGUUAACCUCCCAGACACAAUUCCUCUCCACUUCACACUACAAUUGCACCGGAGCGCACCAACUCCGUAAUAAAUCUUUCCUUUACCUAAUAUUUUGUCUGUGGGAGUCUUGAUGAUAGCAGACUUUUUGCAGAAAUUUACAUUUUGUUUAGACUUCAAAUGUAACUGCUAUGAAAACUUUUACAUACAAAAUCGCAACAGCAUUAUUCCCCUCUCCUAUUUUCAAUGCUAUGGGCUGAAGCUAUGCAGAAUGCUUCAUAUCUUCAUUCCUCUUUUUUAUUACCUCCUUAUUCUCUUCAGCUAAUAAAAAGCAAAACAGCAGAAAGGGAAAAGUAUCAAUUUGGUUCAGACAGAAAAACAAACAUCUUCCCUGUCUUUGGCAGAUGAGUAACAGAUUACAGAGUCUGUUUCUACCUCACCAAAAGCCAGAGAAAAAUAUUAUGAAAACUGUUGAAUGAACUAAAAAAUAUUUCCACUCCAUUUCUUUAUGAUGCAGUCUAGCAUUUAUUACCAGUUCAGGAACUACAUGGUUAGUUUGGACUGCGAGAUUUUGCACUGUGUUGAAGAAAAAAAGUUGAUAUAUAUAUAUAUUUUUAAUCAGUUUUUGAAAAAUCUUAGAAACUGGAGAGCAGAAUAGCUUCCAUUAUCUGCUGCAUAAAUGUCUGUAAAACAAGGAGCAUACAGUAUGUAAUCAGUCAGUACUUUUUACAGUGUGAUUCCUUGCUGCAAAGACUUUUUUUAUUUAGCACUUGAAAUGAUCCCAAAUUGGUUGUGCCUGACUGACUUACAGAACGAUUGUAAGGAGGUGGCCAGAAUUAGAAUAUUAUCUGCAACAAGCUAAAACUGUGAAAAGUGCAGAAUAAAACAGUUGGUAAAGUGUUACUAUGAGCAGAGAUAAGGGAAGCUAGGCUGUCUGAGAGUAGAAGCACUGCAUUUAUGUAUUCUGUGUAGUAGUUCCUAACAUGAGGUAGAUUUCCAUCAUUCCAUCACCAUUAGGGAAAGCACACCAACUUCUCUGCUGAUGAUAUUGCAGAACACUGGAGUGUACGUCUGUGUGGUUGUGAACCAUCCAUGGCGAGUGUGUGUGUAUGUUUUUGGGGAGAGCUCCUUGGAGAGGUCCAAAGUGGGGCCAGAGACAGAGUUAAGGGACAAGCAGAAGCCCAUUUCUGGGGCUCAUUAUUUUAUUUCAGCAAAGCAAUGCUUCAUCGGUGGCAAAGCUGGAUCCCACCUUCACGUUUGUCCUCCAAAGUGAUGUCCACUCAUGUGAUGGAAAAUGUUAUACUUCUGAUGAAUCAGCAAUUACUGAUUCUUUGCUAUCUUCACCAAAUUUAAGUUGGAGGAUGAGUUUGUUGGAUCUCAGCUUCUAACUACUGUGUCUCAUUAGCCAUUAGUUUUAUUAAAUCUCUGCC